rnacentral:rRNA from 1 species
GAUGAACGCUGGCGGCGUGCCUAAUACAUGCAAGUCGAGCGAACGGGCGAGAAGCUUGCUUUUCUGAUGUUAGCGGCGGACGGGUGAGUAACACGUGGAUAACCUACCCAUAAGACUGGGAUAACUUCGGGAAACCGGAGCUAAUACCGGAUAAUAUUUUGAACCGCAUGGUUCAAAAGUGAAAGACGGUCUUGCUGUCACUUAUAGAUGGAUCCGCGCUGCAUUAGCUAGUUGGUAAGGUAACGGCUUACCAAGGCAACGAUGCAUAGCCGACCUGAGAGGGUGAUCGGCCACACUGGAACUGAGACACGGUCCAGACUCCUACGGGAGGCAGCAGUAGGGAAUCUUCCGCAAUGGGCGAAAGCCUGACGGAGCAACGCCGCGUGAGUGAUGAAGGUCUUCGGAUCGUAAAACUCUGUUAUUAGGGAAGAACAUAUGUGUAAGUAACUGUGCACAUCUUGACGGUACCUAAUCAGAAAGCCACGGCUAACUACGUG